AGAGUUUGAUCAUGGCUCAGGAUGAACGCUGGCGGCGUGGCUUAGGCAUGCAAGUCGAGCGAGAAAGUGGGCAACCACGAGUAAAGCGGCGAAAGGGUGAGUAAUAUAUAGGCAAUCUACUCCUUGGAUCGGGAUAAUUCCUGGAAACGGGUUGUAAUACCGAAUGGUCCAGAAUGGUCGCAUGACCGAUCUGGUAAAUGGUAGCUUUGCUUCUGCCGAGGAAGGAGCCUAUAUCCCAUUAGCUAGUUGGUAGGGUAACGGCCUACCAAGGCUGUGAUGGGUAGCCGGACUGAGAGGUUGGCCGGUCACACUGGGACUGAGACACUGCCCAGACUCCUACGGGAGGCUGCAGUCGAGAAUCUUCCGCAAUGGGCGCAAGCCUGACGGGGCGACGCCGCGUGAACGAUGAAGGCCUUCGGGUUGUAAAGUUCUGUCACGGGGGAAGAACCGCUGAGGGUUAACAGCCUUUCAGCCUGACGUUACCCCGGGAGGAAGCCCGGGCUAGCUCCGUGCCAGCCGCCGCGGUAAUUC
rnacentral:rRNA from 1 species